rnacentral:rRNA from 1 species
UACGAAGGGGGGCUAGCGUUGCUCGGAAUCACUGGGCGUAAAGCGCACGUAGGCGGAUUCUUAAGUCGGGGGUGAAAUCCUGGAGCUCAACUCCAGAACUGCCUUCGAUACUGGGAAUCUUGAGUCCGGAAGAGGUGAGUGGAACUGCGAGUGUAGAGGUGAAAUUCGUAGAUAUUCGCAAGAACACCAGUGGCGAAGGCGGCUCACUGGUCCGGUACUGACGCUGAGGUGCGAAAGCUAGGGGAGCGAACAGG